UCGGCUGCAUGAAGCUGGAAUCGCUAGUAAUCGCGAAUCAGAAUGUCGCGGUGAAUACGUUCCCGGGUCUUGUACACACCGCCCGUCACACCAUGGGAGUCGGGAACGCCCGAAGUCGGUGACCCAACCGUAAGGAGGGAGCCGCCGAAGGCGGGCCUGGUGACUGGGGUGAAGUCGUAACAAGGUACC
rnacentral:rRNA from 1 species